rnacentral:rRNA from 1 species
CGGAUCAGCACGCCGCGGUGAAUACGUUCCCGGGCCUUGUACACACCGCCCGUCACACCAUGGAAGUCUGCAAUGCCCGAAGCCGGUGGCCUAACCACUUAUGUGGAGGGAGCCGUCUAAGGCAGGGCAGAUGACUGGGGUGAAGUCGUAACAAGGUACC